rnacentral:rRNA from 1 species
UACAGAGGGUGCAAGCGUUGUUCGGAAUUAUUGGGCGUAAAGCGCGUGUAGGCGGCUUGGCAAGUCGGGUGUGAAAUCCCUCAGCUCAACUGAGGAAGUGCGCCCGAAACUGCUUGGCUUGAGUACCGGAGAGGAUGGUGGAAUUCCCGAAGUAGAGGUGAAAUUCGUAGAUAUCGGGAGGAACACCGGUGGCGAAGGCGGGUUGCUGGGCUGACACUGACGCUGAUGCGCGAAAGCUAGGGGAGCGAACGGG